AAUUCAGGACAUCGAUAGCAAUUCUCAGUGCCAUGGGUUAACCAAUGAAAAGUCAGAGGACGUAGAUGAAGAGGAAGAAGAGUUGGAGGAGGAAGACGACGACAGCCUGACAGGGAAGUCCCAGGAUGAGACCGUCUCCCCCACCACUGAGCCCCAAGGAGCCUAUGAGGAUGAGGAGGAUGAAGAGCCCACAUCACUCAGCAUGAGCUUUGAUCACACACGAAGGCUUAUGCAAUGAUGCUUUCUCUUUCUGAGAAUGCUCCUCUUCACACUUCCUCCCAGAAUUCUCUGGACGCUUGGUUGAACAUGACAGGAGCAGCAUCAGAGACGGGGGCCUUCAACUCCAUUAACCACCUCUGAGAGGUCACGGAGGCACUGGAGACAGAGUCCAGAGUGAGACGACUACCAUGCUAUUAAUGCCCCUUGCAGAAAUUCUGGACAACCACAAGACAGAGCAGAGAUCCUCAGGGAAGUCUCUACGAUUUGGGCUGGGGAAACAUAACUCUUCACCUGUGAUCUGCAACGCCUGAUUUUUUUUUUUUUUUUGUAUUUUUGGUUUCGUUUUGUUUCUUUUUAUCUACCCACCGUAGCUUGUCUCUUGAUUUCUCAAACUGAACAUCAGAACCCAGAGAAUCCCUGAAGCAGUCCCAGGAUUUCACCAUCUCUAAGAAUAGUUUUUGGAAACACGGCUAAUCUGUGGCACAAAAAUAGCAAGUUAACAGCAGUCAAAGCCUAGUUCAUUAGAGUUGGGAAAUGACAUUUCCCUAUCCUCUGCCUCCACCCCAGACCAACUAAUGUAGAAUUUUUCAUCUGAAAUUAAAGCCAUUUGGCCAUUUCAGGGGAUCUGAAUGGCACUUCUUAAGGGAAAAAGAUAAAUCUAGUUUGGGCCCUAAAGAGAUAGAUUGCUUUUAAAUUGUCAGAUUGCUGGGUUUUUUUUUUUUUUCAUAUAUAAUGAAAAGGACAGAAAUAACAUUUUUAGGAACCUUGUUGCUACAGAUUCUCUUUGAGCUCGUGAAUUUUUUAAAGUAUUUUUAAGAAAUCUGAAAUUACUUGCAAAUUAUUGAGGUUUUUUUAAAGUAGUUUUGCAUUGAUUUGAACUAUCCGCUCCCUCCUGGACAUUAACCAGCCUCAAGCACAGCAUAGAGAUUGCAUGUGCUUUUUAAAUCCUUUAGGACAACCAUGGACUUUUUUUUCUCUCCCCUCCCCUCCCCUUUUUUUUCUCUCUCUGAUCCUGUUUGUCCACAUGGAAAAGUGAAAGUGAAGGCUCAUGGAGACCAUAGGUAAAAACCGAACUAGAAUAAAAAUUAAGGGCCUUCCUGAGCCAUCCUUAGACAUGGUGUCAUUGCAGAUAGGACUGCCCCAUGGUUGGGACUAAGAAAUGUGCCUGCCACUAAGUGACUUGUAGCUAAAACUAGGGAACCCCUAAUUUCGCCCAGUGGGAGGAGUCUCCUGGCAAUGCAUCCUUGGCGCCUAAAGUUCAGCAGUUUGGGCUGAUGUGAGCCACCUAGGACACGGAAGUGCAACUGAAGUGAGUGAAAAGGGAGCCGUUGGUCUCUUACCCAUUGAAUUUCCCCGGAGAUCCGAGGGGUCUUACUUCUGUUGUCCUUGUGUCCUCACCUCCCUAUCCAAGAUUCGGGGCCUGUUGGCCAUUCUUGGGUCACCCUAGGACAGUGCCCUGUUCCCUCCCACCUCGCUCCUCAACGCCCCCCCCUCCCGAUGACGUGGACUGGAAGAACAGAUAGCCACCUUCAAUUUGCUCUCUUCGUGGCUCCCCAAGGGGGUCAGACUUCUAAGCCGCCAAGUCCAUUUGUGUGCCUCGGACUCCGGAUUCACAAGACAUUAUUUAACUCCCGUUUCCAAUGUUUGCACAAGAUCUUGGCAAGAUGCAGCUCAAGAACCGAACUGUGUCCACCAUCAUUAGCCAGGCUCUAAGAGUUUAAGCUAGAACAUUCCUUUCCUGGAAACAUCCACCCGUCCUCCAGCACCACAGUACUUGCCCAUUUGAAUGGGUUUUAAAUUAUUCCCAUAGGGGCCAAUUUAAAAUAAUAAUUUUUUUUCUGAUGGAAUUUACCUUAAUCUGUAUAUAACUUGUAAUUUUUUUCUAAUUCUUUUCUUUUUCAUUUCUUCAUUAACAGUAUUUUUUUUGGCAUUAGAUAUCCUCAUUGUGAAAAAAAAAUAAUGUUAAUAUAAGUAUCUAGUGAAGGACCAAAAUCGUGUAUUAAGGUUACGUGUUGUAUGAUUGAUAACCAGGGAGUAGGACAAUUUUUUUUUAAAUUAAUGUGCCAAAUAUACCCCCUAAUUGAUCCCGCUGUCAUUGCUGCCAAUUUUCCAGACAAUCAUAUGUUGUGUUAAAUUUGAUUUUCGAUUACAGUUGCAUUUAGGAUAAGUGUUCUAUUUAUUUCUUUUAUUGUUUGGAAGGAAAGGAAAGAAAAAAAAAUUAAUAUCCCAACAAGGAGAGAGAAGUUGGGGGGGGAGGGAAAAAAAAAAGCCUCGUCUAAGUUGCCCUUUAAAAGAAAAAUUUCUAAUGUAAAUAGAGACAACUGUGAACCAAGGUGUUUUUAUCCAGGGCAGCCUUCGAGGUAAAAGUGCCAUAUCGCCAAGAACUUUACAGUGUUUAUUUAUAAAAAACGAAUAGGAACGAGAAGAAAAAAGAAAUUCGAUCAGGUUAAUUCCUGUUGUUGUUUUCAAGUACAGCUGAUGCAUUCAUAAAGACAACUGAUGAUAGCUGUAAAUAAUUCAAGUUCAAACUUUAGCAAUAGAAUUAUCUGUCAGUCAGGGUGAUAGCUGCAGAAGGAGGGAAUCCUGGGGUUUGGGUUGAUGGUCAAUUUCCUUUGAUAGAUCAGAACCUAACUAAUUCUGUUUUCUUUCUUUUCUUCCUUCCUUAUUUUCCUUCUUUUCUUCCUUCCUUAUUUUCUUUCUUGUUUUUUCUCUUUCUUCCUUUCUUGUUUUUUCUCUUUCUUUCUUUUUUUCUUCCUUCUUUCCUUUCACAAUAAUAAGCCUCAGCUUUUUUUCCUUUUUUAUAUAAGUUUACCUGUCAACAGCUCAAGCCACUCCUCCAAGUAUUGUUUUCAUGGGUAGGUCUUUUUUGCACAAUUUAGCAGGUUGGGGAUGAUCCUUCUUUUGGGGAAAGCAAGAGAGGAAGGUUAAUUAGGAAAAAGAAGUGAAUGGGGCAGGCUGGCCUUGUCAGCCUUGAGCAAAGCUUGCAGAUUAAAACGCUCACCUCUACAUGUCUAUAUCUACCGAUUUUCCUGCUUGCCAGACCCAUUAGAGGUUGUAGAGUAAUUUCUCUGCUCAAGAUAGGAUUUUCUUUGAAAACUGACUUCAUCACAAACCCCUUUUUCUGCAAAUUCUGAUUGCGAUUUUUUUCCUUUAAAAGGUUAAGGUAGAGGUGGAGGCUGAAGGAGGAAACUUAUUUCCCUGAUCUUUAUGGAGGAUUUGGAGCCAUCUUUCCCAAAUUAGGCAAGAUAAGAUUAUCGGCAGAAAUAUUAAACAUACACACGCACAUACAUAUGUUGGCAGUCCACAAAGAGAUGAGGGUUAGCAUUUUUUAUUACAACUUGAUUUUUCCUGCUUUCUCUUAAAUUCUCUGCUGUUCUGUUGAUCCUAGAUUCUCAGUCAAAUGAGACCCCAAAGAUCAUCUGGUACAUCCUGUAGCCAAACCAGGAUUCUCCUCUCUGGCAUUCUCACAAGUAAUUAUCCAUUCUCUCUUUGAGAGAAUUCAUCAUCCAACCCUUUUCUCUCCCUCCAGCCCCCCAAAAAGGCAGCCUCAUUCCAUUUUUAGACAGAUCAAAUUGUUAGAACAUGUUUUCCCCUUUUAUGCAAAGUUGGAAAAUGCCAAUCCUGGUUCUGUCCUUCGGGGCUAAGCAGAAUGAGCGAAAUCUUUCUUUUACAUAACAGUUCACUGUGUCUGUACAAUAUCUCUUCUUCACCACCCCUCAAAAGCCCCACUUGAACCCCCUGAAUUAAUUGUUUUGUUUCACUACAAGACAAUUAGAGUUUAUGAGAUUUCUGCUUAGUUGUGAGAUCCUUAUGCUUCCGUAUGGAAGAUUUCAUCAUUUGUAGCUUAGACCCUUAAAAAAGAAGCACUUAGUUCUUAUGAUUUACCUUUCCCUGGAAUGUUUUUAUUUCCUAAAAAAAAAAAAAAAAAAAAAAAAAAAAAAAAAAAAGUUGGAUUUCCCCAAUCUGAAGUGAGGGCUUAUCUUUACUACAAGCUUCAGGGAAGCCUAGAUUUCCAACUCCAUUCAGAUGGUUCUAGGUCAAGUACACAAAACACCAGGAAGAACCCCUCCAUUUAGAAACCUAGUAACAUUGUGAAGGUGCUGGGAAUCCCGGACCACCGUACUGGGAGCAGCAGAGAGUUCAAGAACCCUGCUGGUCUCUUUCAAUCUCUUUUAAAUUUAAUUUUGUUUCUAUCACCGGUGGCCAUGGUAGCCAUAGUCACAAAGCACAGAAAUGAUGUGACUGGUACAGUUGCUAAGUCACCGAGUGCACUAGCGGGAUGAAGGAGUUUAAUGGUGAAAGGAGCAGACAUCGGUGCCCUGGGUGUAUGUCCAGACAUACUGUCAUGCCGAAUCAGCGGCGAUGACCGGUCUACUUCCCUCAACUACCACACGGCUGCUAACUUUUCUCAUGCAUCAGAUGUAGACCCUGCCAGAAUGACCUUGCAAUAAGCAAACAAUUGGGUCAAACUCAAUAAAAGCCAUCAGCCAUACCAGGGAGUUGAGUGAACUGACCGGUUGCUUUUCCUGACUGUCCACAUCAGUUGGUUUCAUUUCUCUGGGAAGAUGUACCUUAAUAUUUAGUCUUGUCCUGGGGAUCAAGAUUCCGGUGGUAAUGAGGAAGGAUAGCUGAUCAUAUAAGAGAUGGCAGACCAGAAGGGGAAGAAAUGGACAUGAAAAAGAAAGUCAUUUCAAGGAAAGGGACAAAAAAAAACCAUCCUCCUUUCUUUGAUGUGCCAGCUGAAGCCCCAAAAGUCUGCCCCUUUUAUCUCAAUUUUUCUUGCAUAAGCUCAAGUUGCUGUACCCUUUUUUUAGAUUCAGAGUUUUAGGUAUCUCUUUCCACCCCACUCCUAUCCAAGUGAUUCCAAAGUGCUUAGCCCUAGUACACUUGCUGAAUUUGAGGAGGAGGGGAUGAGAAGGGAGACUGGGGUAGCCAAGGUUAGGGAGAAGGAUACCCUGGAGCCUGUUAGAGACAUUUGAAAGUUAAAGAAUUGAAAUAAGCUCUGAUCUCAAUUAGGAGCAUGAAGGCAAAACGGUUCCUCUCAAAAGCCAUUAAGUUCUUUCUCUCUCAUGCUGAGUGAUACUGUGAUGAAAGCAUCCUUGCAUUAUUCUGAGGACUUUUUAAUAUAUAUAUAUUUUUUCUGCAUGGCAGAACUGGACCAGUACAAAGAAUACUGGAUCCAGGUCCUGGUUUCAAAUACCAGUUCUGCUAUUUAAGAACUUUGUGACCUUGGGCCUCGGUUUCCUCAAAAUGAGGAUGAUUGGAUGAGAUGACCUCCCAUACCCCUCCUUUUUAUUCUUUAUCUCUCUCACACACCCUCCUUUAUUUUUUCAAUAAUUGUUAUUGUUAUUAUUAUUAUUAUUAUUGUUAUUAUUAUUGUUUUGCCUAUCAUGGAUUCUUACGAUUACCACUUUUGGAAAAAAGAUGAAGGCAGCUCAAGUUUCCAAAUGUGUAAUUCACUAUUGAAUAGUCACUCGAAAGGUUUCUUUCGGCGAUAUUUUACACGAUCGCCACUCUCCUCCGAGCAAGAGAUGCUUUGCCCAGACUUCUUCUCCAGCCUGCAGGAAAAAAAAAAGAAAAAAAGAAAAAAAUAACUUAAAAACAUAGUUAUAUCAUGCUUGUUAAGAAUCCUGAAUUUAGGCAUUUUCUGUUGUUCCUUUCCCCAUUGUUACGAGACCGAUUUGAUUUAAGGUUUUUUUUUGUUGUUGUUGUUGUUUUGUUUUCUUUUAGGGCUGUAUAGUGUUGGGAAAAAAAAUAAUCAAAUUGUAAAUGUCUGGUUCUCAUAUAAUGUUUCAAAACCAUUGAGAAAGCGGAUGGUGCUCGUCCUGUUUCACUUCGGAUUGUAUAUUGCUUCGGUUAUGUUUAUAAGUAAACUGUGCAUGACUCGUGUUUAGCGGUCAUUAUUGUGUCUGUUUGUGAAAUUUUUAUUAAAAACAGAAAAAAAAAAUUCCGUAGAUGCACUUAUGUAUAUGUGAUUAGGUUCAACGUCCAGGACUAGAAAUCUGGAACUGCUCACAUGACAGGGGGGAGGGCAGUUCUUAAUUAAUUAAUAUGAAAAUCGCUUGUGGGAGAAUAAAUGAGAUUUAAAAAAAAGAUAUGAAGUGUAGAAAAUAAUUAAAAAUGAGCGAUUUUUUUUUUGCAAAAUUUCAUUUUGAUGCUUGUGAUAAAGACAAAUGUACUUGUGUAGAGAAAUUCCUUUAAAAUAAUGACUAGGAAAAGCUGAUUUUGAGGGUAAUGCUGUAGAUUAGGAAUGUAUACCAAAUGUAAUCUUUCCAAUGCUAUGAUGAAUUUAUACAUGAGAUUGAUAUGCAAUAAACCUGUGUGCUUUUCUAA